rnacentral:rRNA from 1 species
GACGAACGCUGGCGGCGUGCUUAACACAUGCAAGUCGAACGGAAAGGCCCUGCUUUUGUGGGGUGCUCGAGUGGCGAACGGGUGAGUAACACGUGAGUAACCUGCCCUUGACUUUGGGAUAACUUCAGGAAACUGGGGCUAAUACCGGAUAGGAGCUCCUGCUGCAUGGUGGGGGUUGGAAAGUUUCGGCGGUUGGGGAUGGACUCGCGGCUUAUCAGCUUGUUGGUGGGGUAGUGGCUUACCAAGGCUUUGACGGGUAGCCGGCCUGAGAGGGUGACCGGCCACAAUGGGACUGAGAGACGGCCCAGACUCGUACGGGAGGCAGCAGGGGGGAAUAUUGCAGAAUGGGCGGAAGCCUGAUGCAGCAACGCCGCGUGCGGGAUGACGGCCUUCGGGUUGUAAACCGCUUUCGCCUGUGACGAAGCGUGAGUGACGGUAAUGGGUAAAGAAGCACCGGCUAACUACGUG